rnacentral:rRNA from 1 species
GUGAACGCUGGCGGUAGGCCUAACACAUGCAAGUCGAACGGCAGCACAGUAAGAGCUUGCUCUUACGGGUGGCGAGUGGCGGACGGGUGAGGAAUACAUCGGAAUCUACUUUUUCGUGGGGGAUAACGUAGGGAAACUUACGCUAAUACCGCAUACGACCUACGGGUGAAAGCAGGGGAUCUUCGGACCUUGCGCGAUUGAAUGAGCCGAUGUCGGAUUAGCUAGUUGGCGGGGUAAAGGCCCACCAAGGCGACGAUCCGUAGCUGGUCUGAGAGGAUGAUCAGCCACACUGGAACUGAGACACGGUCCAGACUCCUACGGGAGGCAGCAGUGGGGAAUAUUGGACAAUGGGCGCAAGCCUGAUCCAGCCAUACCGCGUGGGUGAAGAAGGCCUUCGGGUUGUAAAGCCCUUUUGUUGGGAAAGAAAAGCAGCAGGAUAAUACCCCGCUGUUCUGACGGUACCCAAAGAAUAAGCACCGGCUAACUUCGUG